rnacentral:rRNA from 1 species
AGGACGAACGCUGGCGGCGUGCUUCAUACAUGCAAGUCGAACGAGGUUUAGUCGGUGGAAACACCGACGAAGACCGAGUGGCGAACGGGUGCGUAACACGUGAGCAACCUGCCCCGAAGACCGGGAUAACAGCGGGAAACCGCUGCUAAUACCGGAUAACCCCACCGGAUCGCAUGGUCUGGUGAGGAAAUGGACUCCGCUUCGGGAGGGGCUCGCGGCCUAUCAGCUUGUUGGUGGGGUAAUGGCUCACCAAGGCAACGACGGGUAGCUGGUCUGAGAGGACGAUCAGCCACACUGGGACUGAGACACGGCCCAGACUCCUACGGGAGGCAGCAGUAGGGAAUCUUGCGCAAUGGGCGAAAGCCUGACGCAGCAACGCCGCGUGAGGGAUGAAGGUCUUCGGGUUGUAAACCUCUUUCAAGCAGGGACGAUAAUGACGGUACCUGCAGAAGAAGCUCCGGCCAACUACGUGCCAGCAGCCGCGGU